rnacentral:rRNA from 1 species
UACGGGGGGAGCAAGCGUUGUUCGGAUUUACUGGGCGUAAAGAGCUCGUAGGCGGUUUGUUGCGUCGGCUGUGAAAUCCCGAGGCUCAACCUCGGGUCUGCAGUCGAUACGAGCAAACUAGAGUGUUGCAGGGGAGACUGGAAUUCCUGGUGUAGCGGUGAAAUGCGCAGAUAUCAAGAGGAACACCUGAGGUGAAGACGGGUUGCUGGGCCGACACUGACGCUGAUAGCGCGAAAGCCAGGGGAGCAAACGGG